CAGGCGGCGAGGUAAUGGCUGCUGGACGUCAAGGUGACUGAGGCCGUGUGACCAAACUUUGCAUGCUGAGCGAGUCCGGGUCCGAAAGGAAGACAAAAGCCUUCCGUGUGCGUGUGGACGCUGCUGCACACCUGCCAUAUCCAUUCACGUCUGAUGAAAUCGCCGCAGCGACGACGACCACAAAGAUCAUUUUGCUCAGGCCUAGACUUGUCUUGUCUUGUUUUGUUUUGUUACUCCGUGUCACUGCAGCGUGGCUCAUUGCUGCCCUUUCCUCUUUUUAUUACUUCUUUCCCUCUAUACUUCAUUGUGUACAGUAUUGUGCUCCAUGAAUCAUCAAUAAAAAAUGCCAAAUGAAUUUUUUUUUUGCAUGAAAUUUUUUGGCACGUUUUUGUAAA